AAAAUGUACUGCAUUUUAUUAUAUAAAAGUACAAUUGGGGGGAGGGGGGACGGAUAGCAUUGGGAGAUAUACCUAAUGCUAGAUGACGAGUUAGUGGGUGCAGCGCACCAGCAUGGCACAUGUAUACAUAUGUAACUAACCUGCACAUUGUGCACAUGUACCCUAAAACUUAAAGUAUAAUAAAAAAAGUACAAUUAGUAAAAUAUAUGAAUAAUAUACUAGUUUUCUCAUAAUGCAAAAGAAUAUUACUCUUAACACCUACCUUGUGCAUCACUCAAUAGUAUAAGUUAACCACAAAGAACCUCUCCACUUAGAUUUUCACCAUGCAUCUUACAUUUUAAUAUUCUUACUCAUCCAUAGAAAAGAUCAUAAAUAAUGCCCAUCUAAUGAAGAAGAAUCUCUCAUACCUCUGAUGCAGCAACAAAUGAUCACAAGCUUUCACAAGUGAAUAAGAAUGAAGAAACAGCAGAAAAUAAUGAGUUGAGUUACAUCAUUUGCUUUUCAAAAAAUCUGUAAUUUUUUCAAGAAACAAAGUAUAAUCCGAAUAUAGUUAUUAUUCUACAAAAAAUCUUUUACUCCUCUUAACAUUAUAUACAAAUAAUUUUUCUACCAACUUUAGUUUUAUUUUCUAUACUCAGAACUCUCAUUUAGUAGAAUAUUCGAAGUGUCGCUUCCUCAUAUAUUUCUACUAUAAAUUCUGGUAUUUACAUAGACAAAUUUGGAUUAAAAUUUUUUUUAUUUUUACUACACCUUUGAAAAUAUAUUUUCGUAUAAACUCUGGUGUUUUCUAAGCUGUAGUUUUUGAAAAUUUGUUUUCCCAAAUUUAUUACAUUUGCAAGACAGCUCUCCAAUAUAAAUUCCCUGAUGUUGAACAAAGUUUGAGUGACCUCUUCAGAGUUUUUCUGUAGUACAAAAUGUGGACAAUAAGAUCUGAUACAAGUAAAGGUACUUCAACCCUCUUUAUGGUUGUAAUGUUCAUCUUUAAUAUAAAUACUCUCCUUCACUUUAAAGGAUAAUAUUUUCUGAAAGAUCUUUUGGCAGUAAUUGCACUUAUCAUGCUUUUAUUAAGCAUGAACUCUCUGGUGUUUAGUAAGAUGUGAGCAGAUAUUGACGUCUUUUUCACAGUCUAUAUUUCUACAAUUUUUCUCAAAUAUAAAUGAUUUUCUGUGCAAUAAGGUGUAUUAGUUAAAAACUUUGCCACAUUGUUCUUACUUGUAGGAAAUUUUUCCAAUAUGAAUAUUACCUAUAAUCAAGUGUGACAACCAUUUAAAUACUUUGUUACAUUCUCCACAUUUCUAGGAUUUCUCACCAAUAUGAUUUCUUUUAUGAUUAGAAAAGUUUGAGAUGUUGUCAGAAGCACUGUCACAUCUUACUGGUUUGUAGAGUUUCUCUGCAGUAAGAAUUAUCUUAUGUUUACUAAUGGAUGAGGAUUUGUUAAAAGCUUUGCCACAUUCUUCACAUUUGUAUAAUUUAUCUCCUUUAUGAAUUAUUUUAUGUUUAGUAAGGUAUAAGAAUCAGUAAAAAGCUUUGAGACAUUCCUCAUAUUUGUAGGGUUUCCUUCCAGUAUGAAUUAUCUUACGUGUAGGCAGGGUUGAGAAGUGGUUAAAAGCUUUGUCACAUUCUUCAUAUUUGUAGGAUUUCUCUAUGGUAUGAAUUCUCUUAUGUUUAGUAAGGGAUGAGAACUAAUUAAAGCCUUUGCCACAUUCUUCACAUCUGUAGAAUUUCUCUCCAAUAUGAAUUAUCUUAUAUUUAGUAAGGUAUGAGAAUCAAUAGAAAUCUUUGCCACAUUCUUCACAUUUGUAGGGUUUCUCUCCAGCAUUAAUUAUCUUAUGUGUAUUAAGGGUAAAGUACUGGUGAAAAGCUUUGCCACAUUCUUUAGUAAGGGAAUAGGAGCAGUAAAGGCCUUUGCCACAUUCUUCACUUUUGUACAGUCUCUUCAGUAUGAAUUCCAAUAUGAAUUAUCUUAUGUCUACUAAGAUGUGAAGACCGCCUAAAAGCUUUGCCACAUGCUUCACAUUUGUAGGGUUUGUCUCCAGUAUGAAUUAGCUUAUGUUUAAUAAGGUUUGAGGAAUGGUUAAAAGCUUUGCCACAUUCUUCACAUUUGCAAGGUUUCUCUCCAGUAUGAAUUAUCUUAUGCGUAUUAAGGUUUGAGAAUCGGUAGAAAGUUUUGCCACAUUUUUCACAUUUGUAGGGUUUCUCUUCAGUAUGAAUUAUCUUAUGUUUAGUAAGGGUUGAGAAUAUACUAAAGGCUUUGCCACAUUCUUCACAUUUGUAGGGUUUUUGUACACUAUGAAUUUGCUUGUGCCCAGCGAGGUGUGAGGACCGCUUAAAAGCUUUGCCACAUUCUUCACAUUUGUAGGGUUUUUCUCCAGUAUGAAUUUUCUUAUGUAUACUAAGGAUUGAAGAUCGGUUAAAAGCUUUGCCACAUUCUUCACAUUUGUAGGGUUUCUUAUCAGUAUGAAUUAUCUUGUGUUUAGUAAGGGUUGAGAAUACACUAAAGGAUUUGCCACAUUCUUUACAUUUGUAGGGUUUGUGUCCAGUAUGAAUUCUCUUAUGUGUAGUAAGGUGUGAGGACCGAUUAAAAGCUUUGCCACAUUCUUCACAUUUGUAGGGUUUUUCUCCAGUGUGAAUCAUUUUAUGUAUAGUAAGGGUUGAAGAUCGUUUAAAAGCUUUGCCACAUUCUUCACAUUUGUAGGGUUUUUCUCCAGUAUGAAUUAUUUUAUGUAUACUAAGGGUUGAAGAUUGGUUAAAAGCUUUGCCACAUUCUUCACAUUUGUAGGGUUUCUCUUCAGUAUGAAUUAUCCUAUGUUUAGUAAGGGUUGAAGAUCGUUUAAAAGCUUUGCCACAUUCUUCACAUUUGUAGGGUUUCUCUUCUGUAUGAAUUAUUUUAUGUUUAGUAAGAAUUGAGAAUACACUAAAGGUUUUGCCACAUUCUUCACAUUUGUAGGGUUUCUCUCCAGUAUGAAUUCUUUUAUGUGUAGUAAGGUGUGAAGACUCCUUAUAAGCUUUGCCACAUUCUUCACAUCUGUGGGAUUUCUCUUCAGUGUGAAUUAUCUUAUGUUUAGUAAGGGUUGAGAAAAUACUAAAGGCUUUGCCACAUUCUUCACAUUUGUAGGGUUUCUCUCCAGUAUGAAUUCUUUUAUGUGUAGUAAGGUGUGAGGACUCCUUAUAAGCUUUGCAAUAUUCUUCACAUCUGUGGGAUUUCUCUUCAGUGUGAAUUAUCUUAUGUUUAGUAGGGGUUGAGAAAAUACUAAAGGCUUUGCCACAUUCUUCACAUUUAUAGGGUUUUUCUCCAUUAUGAAUUAUCUUAUGUCCAGUAAGGGUUGAAGAUUGGUUAAAAGUUUUGCCAUAUUGUUCACAUUUAUAGGGUUUCUCUCUAGUAUGAAUUAGCUUAUGCCUAGUAAGGUAUGAGAAUUGGUAGAAAGAUGUGCCACAUUCUUCACAUUUGUAGGGUUUCUGUCCAGUAUGAAUUCUCUUAUGUGUAGUAAGGUUUGAGUCCUGGUUAAAAGAUUUGCCACAUUCAUAUUUGUAGGAUUUCUCUCCAGUAUGAACUCUCCUGUGUCUAGUAAGGGUUGAAAACCAGAUAAAGGCUUUGCCACAUUCUUCACAUCGGUAAGAAUUCUCUCUAAUAUGAAUUCUUUUAUGCUGACAUAGGUGUAAAAGCAUGCAAAAUGAUUUGCCACAUUUUUUACAUUUGAAAGGUUUCUUUCCAGUAUGUUUUGUGUUAUGUCUAUUUGAAUUUAAAA
rnacentral:lncRNA from 1 species